GAUCAUGGUUCAGGACGAACGCUGGCGGCGCGCCUAACACAUGCAAGUCGAACGAGCGAGAGGAGGUUUACUUUCUCAAGCGAGUGGCGAACGGGUGAGUAACGCGUGAGGAACCUGCCUCAAAGAGGGGGACAACAGUUGGAAACGACUGCUAAUACCGCAUAAGCCCACGACCCGGCAUCGGGUAGAGGGAAAAGGAGCAAUCCGCUUUGAGAUGGCCUCGCGUCCGAUUAGCUAGUUGGUGAGGUAAUGG
rnacentral:rRNA from 1 species